UAAUACGGAGGGAGCUAGCGUUGUUCGGAAUUACUGGGCGUAAAGCGCACGUAGGCGGCUUUGUAAGUUAGAGGUGAAAGCCCGGGGCUCAACUCCGGAAUAGCCUUUAAGACUGCAUCGCUUGAAUCCAGGAGAGGUGAGUGGAAUUCCGAGUGUAGAGGUGAAAUUCGUAGAUAUUCGGAAGAACACCAGUGGCGAAGGCGGCUCACUGGACUGGUAUUGACGCUGAGGUGCGAAA
rnacentral:rRNA from 1 species